rnacentral:tRNA from 1 species
GCAAUGGUCGGCAUCGCUUUUUUGCGGGGGACUUUAAAUCCUCGUGUCACCAUUAGGAAAACGAGGAUGAUACUC